rnacentral:lncRNA from 1 species
GUGUUUUUUCUAUAUAAAAAGUAAUGAAAUAGUUGUGCUAUUUCAUUCCACAGAACCAUUUGCCAGUCAAUAGUUUCAAAGACUAUUACACCGGUUAAUAGUUUCAUAAUCAUCUUUCCCGUACUUUUCAUGCUUAUUUUUCAUUGGACGAUAAUGAUGUCAUUGACUACUCUGCUUGGUUACGUAUGCUUUGCAACGUCAAACUCCCGCUAAUAUUGUAAACGGUGGAAUCUGUUUGUGUUGAUUGUAAUUUCACUUAUAAGAAGCAAUUAUAAAAAAGAAAAAAAAAAUCUUCACUGGGAAUUUUUUAAAGAUCUAAAAUAUAGUACCUAAUUCUUAAUAUGGGUUCGCUCUCCGUAUAUAAAAAGUGAAUUUGCGUUUGGUGUAUUUUAGCUAGAAUUUUUUUUAAGCACAGAAAGUUUAACAUAAGUAUUUCUUGUCUUGAUUGAAAUUAAUGAAAUAUUUAUUAAUACAAAACGAAUUAUAAAAAAAAGUAUAGUUCAUCAUGUGCAUAUAAAGUUAUGUGACAUUUUUGUUUUCU